rnacentral:lncRNA from 1 species
UGGUUGUGGGUUCAAUUUUGUGGGAGAUUUUAAAUAUCAUAUCAUCAGAAGUCCAUCACAGAUCCCUUAUAAUAUGGAUUGAAUAAGCCACGUAUAGAUAGAACUUUAUUUUCGUUGUCACGGGGUGAAUUAUUGAUCUCCUCAAAUCAGUGUCUGAAUUGUUAACUCGUUAUUUAAUUAUAUGACAACAUAACUUUGUUUAUUUUA